AAACAAUCGUAUUUCUCUUUUGCUCUUUAUGACUGUUGUAUAAAUAUGCAUAAAUGGGAUAUGAAAACAAAAAUUAAGAAUGACAUCAAACUGAUCAAAAUACUUGAUAAUGGUAGGUCUUAGAAUAAAGACGAAGCUUAUCUUUAUAGACAAGCAAUGAGGCAAUUAAUUAUAGCAUGAUUUAUAUGAUGUGAAGAUUUACCAACAAUGAACAUUCUAUAACAUUGUAGACUAGAAUAUAUAAGUCAUGACAAACAUUUCUUUUAUUUUAAGUAAACUUGAAUUGCUGAUAAUUUGUAUGUUUUACCAUUUCUCUCUAUCUUCAAUAGCUUAUGAAUGAAUGAAUGAAUAUGUUGACUCUAUAGUAGAUCCUUUUCUUUUAGAUCUUUUCCACUAUUCAAUCUCUAUCUAUUACAGUUUUCAAGAUAAAAGGCAAUUUUAUUUUGGCUUUUUUUUUUUUUAAACAAUAUUUAUCUUUUAUAUGUUUCAAGCUAGACAAAAACGCAAAAUAUGAUAAAAAUCAUCAUUUAAGGACAAUAUCUAUGUAAAGCUGACUGACGAUUUCUGCCAUGUUGGAUAAUUUAUAGAUCUUUUCUUGCUGAUUAUUUUUCCUAUUGAAGUUUUUCGCUAUUUGUUAUAUUAGCAAAAAUGAAAAAGAAAUUGGUAUUUGCCAUUUAAGUUAAAAAAAACUCAUAUAAGAAGUAGUCUGACAUAUCGGAUGUAAAUAGACAACAUUAUGAAAAUGUCUGCACUGUAAGAUUUUCUCUAUCUAUAGCAGUUUUCAAGAUAAUAGACAAAAAUUGUAUUUGACCAUUAUUUCUUUCUUAAGCCAUGUUAGUGGGCACAAUCAUGAGACACAUUUAUUACACAAGAUACACAAAAAAUGAUUGCUGUCAAGUUUGAUUCUAAUUGGUCCAAUAAUUUCAGAAAAUAUUCUUUUUAAGGUUAGCCAUUUGGACAAGAUGAGAAAAAAAAAACCAAAAGCAAUCUUUUCUGAGUUUCGAUUUUAUUACAAUAUCUGUAUACUUUAGAAUAUCUUUGAAGACAAAUAUACAUAAAAUACCGGUAACAUUUAUCACAGUGUAUAUCACAAAUAUCUCGGUAGUGUGAGUCAAUCAGAAAAAAGUUUUCAACCUUUUAAAUGUAAUUUUGGUAGCUUAUACACACAAUUAUUAUAUUGUUUAUCCUGCAUUAUGUACUAUAUAAAAACAUCAGACUGAAGAAGAUGAAACAAUAUUAUCAAAUUUUCAAACCAUCUAUAAAUAGACAACUGGGCAUAUCAUCCCAGUAAAUAAUUUAUUGAUUCAGUUCUCUCUACUGUAAUUUGUUGAAUUUCAAGGGCACCUUACUUUGUCAAUACUCAGUGGCGGAUCCAGAAGGGGGGGGGGGGGGGGGGGGGGGGGGGGGGGGGGGGUUUCCAGGGGUUGGAACCCCCCUUUUUUAUGGACGAUCAUUGAAUUUGAAUGGGGACAUAUAGUUGGAACACCCAUCCCCCACCCCCCCCCCCCCCCCCCCCCCCCCCCCCCCCCCCCCCCUUUUAUCCUGGGUUGGGAACACCCUCUUUAAAAAACGGCUGAAUCCUACCCCGAUACAGUAAUUAAAACAAAGUCAAAUUAGGAAAGAUCAAACUUUUCCAUAUUCACAUUAUUUUUCUGAUAGCAAAAGUCGAGAAAAAUAUUACUCAUGAUUACUUAUUCUGAAAAAUAUUUUCAAAUGUUAAUAGUGUUUCAAUUAUAAUCAGAUCAAAAUAGCAAUGUGAUCAAAAUGCUCAGCCUAUAUAAGCAAUUGUUAAAUUUAAUAUUCAAAGUAUGUGGGAGAUAAGUUGAAAGGGCUUUAAAAACCUGAAAACCUUUCUGGAUAUAA